GCCUCUGUGGUGGAAUGGUAGACGCGGCGGAUUCAAAAUCCGCUUCCGCAAGGAGUGCCGGUUCGAGUCCGGCCAGAGGCACCA
rnacentral:tRNA from 2 species